UAAGCCAAAAGGCAUCUUUAUUUUGCAGACCUUGCCUUGCAGCUCUGGAAUUUCCUGGACUGACAAUUGUAAAGAAAAUCCAGGAAUGAAACGAAACCUCAAAUUUGGAAAAAUGCAUAAUGCUUGUAAUUAAAAAUUCUUGGGUUUAGGAGAUCAUUGCUCUUGAGGAAAAUCUCAAACUCUGCAACAAACUCCUGAGUAUGGAGACCUAAACCAGAAAAUACCUAUUGUCUAAAGAAUGAGUGUUUAUGAAAAAUCACAGAACUAGAGAAAAGUUAAGAAAAACUUGAUAUAACCAUUCAAGAAAUACUGUUAGACCUAUAAAUUGGAGUAUUAUUAUCAUCGCAUUUCUUAUUAUUAUCUUAUUCUUAUUUAUGAAUAAUAAAUCUGUGUUAUAGCUAAAAAUGUCCUGGUGAAAUUUCAUCAGCUGAGAAUAUGCUAUGAUUAAUUUAAUUCAAUAUAAUUUUAAAUAAUAAGUUUGCUGGGCAGACUUAGUAGAAAAAUCUGUGGUGUUUUAACACACAGCAUUAAAAACAGAAACAAGAUUUGCAAAGAUUUCAGAAUAUGCAUCUUCCUCAUUAUAAGGGAAUAUCACAUAGAUGCAUCCUAAUUUUAAUUACAGACUUUCAUCAGGAAGGUCACUAUAUUUUAGGUGCUUGACAUAAAGAUGUAAAAAAGAAAAAAUGGGGACUACUUGGUUACUUCAUCUACCCAAACACCAAAACAAGGUGUUUUCUACAAAAUAAUCUUUGUGCCCAUGACACUUUUGUGUGAGUUCAUCUGGAGUCCUUCAGGUGGGUAUGAACAUUUCCUAGGUCUUACCCACCUCUUCAACAACAUGAGGAACUGCAGUAAAUGACACUGACUUAGCUGGGCCGACAACGCAAGACUUGAUUCACAGAAAAUAACAUAGUUUGUGGCUGCCUCUUUUGCUUGUUGAGGAAUGAUGAAGUUCACAACAGCAGUGUCUGAAUUAUGAUCAAGGGCCCUUGCUGAGAGGAACAGGCAAGUUUGUAUUUUUUGGAACUGCUCCCUGGAGCUUUAACAUUCUUCACAGUUUCUUAGGCAUUUUUACAUUAGUUGUGAAAUAUGUUCGCCACGUAUGUUUGGUAGCUUUGUAAUUUUUAACUUUAGCACCUGUGAUUCUCAUGAGGGCUGGAAAUCUGUUAAUGUGAUAUGCUUUUCUGGUACAGACAGUUUCCACCAGAAUGGGUCAGAUGCUCCCAGUCAGCCACAGGUGAUAAUAAAAGCUCCUGUCUGUUGAUGCUGAGACAAGGGGAGCCAGUGGGAAGCAAACUUUGGCUUGGAUGGCAUGGUGGGUGAAGGGGGACUCAGUCUCGGGUACACAGGUCAGUUAACUCCUCUGUACUUUUAUUUGUUUGAUAUAAGCACCUAGAGAACAGAUACAAAACUGCAGAAAAAUCAAGAGAGAAGGCAGAUCAAGGAAAAGACAGCGGUGUUUUCUCCAGAAUGAAGAAUGUGUUCCUCUUCACUACUACCAUCAUUAACACUGAAAGUGAAUGAUUCGUGAAACGCAGCAAUGACAAUGCUGGUCUUCCCUAUGGUUUGUGUGUAGACUUCUCUUGCUUUAAAUUCCACUUCAUCUUCCCAAGUCUGUAUAUAAAACAUGUUGCAAAAGAAAUGCUUCUCACCUGCACAGUUAA